GCUGGCGGCGUGCCUAACACAUGCAAGUCGAACGAGAAAGUGGAGCAAUCCAUGAGUAAAGUGGCGACCGGGUGAGUAACACGUGACUAACCUGCCUUCGAGUGGGGGAUAACCUCGGGAAACCGGGGCUAAUACCGCAUAAUGCCUUCGGGUUAAAGGAGCAAUUCGCUUGAAGAGGGGGUCGCGGCUGAUUAGCUAGUUGGCGGGGUAACGGCCCACCAAGGCGAUGAUCGGUAGCCGGCCUGAGAGGGCGCACGGCCACACUGGAACUGAAACACGGUCCAGACUCCUACGGGAGGCAGCAGUGGGGAAUUUUGCGCAAUGGGGGAAACCCUGACGCAGCAACGCCGCGUGGAGGAUGAAGUCCCUUGGGACGUAAACUCCUUUCGACCGGGACGAUUAUGACGGUACCGGUGGAAGAAGCCCCGGCUAACUUCGUGCCAGCAGCCGCGGUAAUACGAGGGGGGCGAGCGUUGUUCGGAAUUAUUGGGCGUAAAGGGCGCGUAGGCGGUGCGGUAAGUCACCUGUGAAACCUCUGGGCUUAACUC
rnacentral:rRNA from 1 species